rnacentral:tRNA from 1 species
GACAAUGGCUCUAUGGUUAGAGCACUGAUCUUGUAAACCAGGAGUUGUGAGUUCAAACCUCACUAGGGCC